rnacentral:rRNA from 1 species
UACGGGAGGCAGCAGUGGGGAAUAUUGCACAAUGGGCGCAAGCCUGAUGCAGCCAUGCCGCGUGUAUGAAGAAGGCCUUCGGGUUGUAAAGUACUUUCAGUCGUGAGGAAGGUGUUAAGGUUAAUAACCUUAGCAAUUGACGUUAGCGACAGAAGAAGCACCGGCUAACUCCGUGCCAGCAGCCGCGGUAAUACGGAGGGUGCGAGCGUUAAUCGGAAUUACUGGGCGUAAAGGGCACGCAGGCGGUUAAUUAAGUUGGAUGUGAAAUCCCCGGGCUUAACCUGGGAAUGGCAUUCAAGACUGGUUAGCUAGAGUCUUGUAGAGGGGGUAGAAUUCCAUGUGUAGCGGUGAAAUGCGUAGAGAUGUGGAGGAAUACCGAUGGCGAAGGCGGCCCCUGGGACAAAGACUGACGCUCAUGUGCGAAAGCGUGGGGAGCAAACAGGAUUAGGAUACC